CCAACAUUGGCAACCAAACGUACACCACUUCACCAGAGCCACAUGUACUAUCAGCAAUGGAACCAUUGGCACUGCACCGUACCAGUGAAAAACGAAAACCUUACAAAAAUAUAUUAUAUGGAUGAAUUCAAAAGCACGAAAAAAAAUCAAUAACAAUGGAGNAAUCAAUCUUGUGAUGUGAACAUUACAUAAAAUAGUUUAGUUUUUCACCCCUACAAGUUGUGGGGAAACAGAUCACAAGUGCUUUUAAUUAUCUCGAUUAUAAAAACAUAUUACAUGGAUGGAUUCAUAAGUAGAAAAAAAUCAAUAACAAUGGAGAACCUUAGUAGUAAGUUGCUUCCUGGGAGCCUUUCCUCUAGUGGACUUAUGAGUAGUUUGCUUCGUACGAGCCAUCUACACACAGAUUAGAACCACCAACGCUUUGUCGGCUGUAGAACCCCCACUACCAUCACUGGCUGUAUGCAGAUUAGAUGCACCACCAACCAUCAAAAACACAGAUCCAACCAUCAGUCUUUUUACUCUACCCACAGAUUAUAGCCACUAUAACCAUCGCUAGUUGUAUGCGACGAUGACGAUGGUGCAGUAGGGCCAUAGAUGUUGGGCAUAGGUUGCAGUGGCGUCGCUUCUCAAGUAGUAGACAUCAUCGGAAUCAAAGAUCAAGUGGAAUUAUUCUCUCACAGCACCAGAGUAGUGUGNNNNNNNNNNNNNNNNNNNNNNNNNNNNNNNCAUCACUGGCUGUACGCAGAUUAGAUGCACCACCAACCAUCAAAAACACAGAUCCAACCAUCAGCCUUCUUACUCUACCCACAGAUUAGAACCACUAUAACCAUUGCUGGUUGUAUGCGAUGACGACGAUGGUGCAGUAGGGCCAUAGAUGUUGGGCAUAGGUUGCAGUGGCGUCGCUUCUCAAGUAGUAGACAUCAUCGAAAUCAACGAUCAAGUGGAAUUAUUCUCUCACAGCGUCGGAGUAGUGUGGUAGUCGAUCACCGUAGAUAGAAAAUAG
rnacentral:lncRNA from 1 species